rnacentral:lncRNA from 1 species
AGGAUCUUAAGAAACAAAAUACAUACAAUAGUUUUUUCAUAUUUAAUUUCAGGCAAGGCAAUCAUAAAAUUCCUAUACAUAGAUAACUGGACAUUCUGUAGAACUUUUAAAGAUAAAACAACAAACAAAUUACUCAUUAAUGCUUCAAGAGCCAAGAAACUAAAGAAGACUAAAAGGAAAUUCUCAAUUUAAAAUUGCACUCCACAACUACAAUUGUGACCACUAACCACGAUAUUGCGAUUUCGGGAUUCUCCAGACUAUUAUGAUCACAUAUAUUGAUCAACCUUUAUAGAAACAGAUUAUUAUGACAUCAAAUAAUACACCAUGUUAGUUUUCCUGAAGUAAAGUUUUCCUAAGCCUAGAUAUAAAGAUGGAUAUUGAGAACAAUGAAAAACAAAAUGAGAAAGAGACCAUAUAUAACAGUGUGUACAAAAAUGGAUGCAAUAGUAGUCUUCAUGUUCAUAAACUCAAAGGGUCUAUUCUUUCCUGGCAAUUGAAAAAGCAUUCCUGGAGAUAAAACCCAAAAUAGAGCAGCAGCUAUAAGAGGAGGAGCCCAAUCAUUCAUUGUUUUAUACAUCUAACAAUAAUUCCCAAACCUUGAAUGAAUGAACAAGUGCAAGUAGAAGAGGUGCUAAAGAAAGACCUAAAGUGACAACUAGAUAAGAGAAUUAGAAUCAUAUAAAGUUAUCAUAAAAAUAAUCAAUCAUUCACUUUAAUCUUUGUCCUAGCUCCUUUUUUUCCGGGUUUGGUUGUGGCCUUUUCUAGAUAAGAAAGGCACUGUUUUCUUUACUAGUCAAUGGCCAUAAUAAUAGAAUUAGAGUAGCAUUUUGUAUUCAAUCACAUAGUUUAAUGGUUUGUGGUACCAGAUUUUGGUACAAGUUUUAAAUUAUGAUUACAGUCACGAUUGUAAUUACUAUGUGAUUUAGAGCCACACUGUAAUUAUUGUGUGAUAUGACUGUCACAGUCAACACAACCACAAUAUUGCGGCUGAAUUAUAUAAUGAGGUCCUCAAUUUGAAUUAUUACCUACAAAUUAUAUAGUUUUAUGUGGUUCACCA